rnacentral:rRNA from 1 species
GAUGAACGCUGGCGGCGUGCCUAAUACAUGCAAGUCGAGCGAACAGACGAGGAGCUUGCUCCUCUGAUGUUAGCGGCGGACGGGUGAGUAACACGUGGAUAACCUACCUAUAAGACUGGGAUAACUUCGGGAAACCGGAGCUAAUACCGGAUAAUAUAUUGAACCGCAUGGUUCAAUAGUUAAAUACGGUUUUGCUGUCACUUAUAUAUGGAUCCGCGCGGCAUUAGCUAUUUGGUAAGGUAACGGCUUACCAAGGCAACGAUGCCUAGCCGACCUGACAGGUGAAGCGCCCAAAUUGAAACGGGGCACGGGCCCGACUCCUAAGGGAGGCAGGCGGAGGGAAUCUUCCGCAAUGGGCGAAAGGCUGACGGAGCAAAGCCGCGUGGGGGAUGAAGGUCUUCGGAUCGUAAAACUCUUGUAUUAGGGAAGAAAAAAUGUGUAAGUAACUAUGCAAGUCUUGACGGUACCUAAUCAAAAAGCCAAGGCUAACUACGUG